CCUACGGGAGGCAGCAGUGGGGGAUAUUGCACAAUGGGGGGAACCCUGAUGCAGCGACGCCGCGUGGGUGAAGAAGCGCCUCGGCGCGUAAAGCCCUGUCAGCAGGGAAGAAAAUGACGGUACCUGAAGAAGAAGCCCCGGCUAACUACGUGCCAGCAGCCGCGGUAAUACGUAGGGGGCAAGCGUUAUCCGGAUUUAUUGGGUUUAAAGGGUGCGUAGGCGGGAUGCCAAGUCAGCGGUAAAAAUGCGGUGCUCAACGCCGUCGAGCCGUUGAAACUGGCGUUCUUGAGUGGGCGAGAAGUAUGCGGAAUGCGUGGUGUAGCGGUGAAAUGCAUAGAUAUCACGCAGAACUCCGAUUGCGAAGGCAGCAUACCGGCGCCCUACUGACGCUGAGGCACGAAAGCGUGGGUAUCGAACAGGAUUAGAUACCCUUGUAGUC
rnacentral:rRNA from 1 species